rnacentral:rRNA from 1 species
AACGAACGCUGGCGGCAUGCCUAACACAUGCAAGUCGAACGAGACCUUCGGGUCUAGUGGCGCACGGGUGCGUAACGCGUGGGGACCUGCCCUUAGGUUCGGAAUAACUCCCCGAAAGGGGUGCUAAUACCGGAUAAUGUCUUCGGACCAAAGAUUUAUCGCCUUUGGAUGGGCCCGCGUUGGAUUAGCUAGUUGGUAGGGUAAAAGCCUACCAAGGCGACGUUCCAUAGCUGGUCUGAGGGGAUGAUCAGCCACACUGGGACUGAGACACGGCCCAGACUCCUACGGGAGGCAGCAGUGGGGAAUAUUGGACAAUGGGCGAAAGCCUGAUCCAGCAAUGCCGCGUGAGUGAUGAAGGCCUUAGGGUUGUAAAGCUCUUUUACCCGGGAUGAUAAUGACAGUACCGGGAGAAUAAGCGCCGGCUAACUCCGUG